rnacentral:lncRNA from 1 species
UAAGGGGAGAAGGGACCCACGAAAUGAGAAAGAAAGUGGUGUAUCUGCUGGCAUGACAGACUGGUUUCAAGCAUCAAUCAGCAUAACAUAACAUAAUCACUUUCUCUCCACACCCACCCAUCCAUCUUCCUCUAUUUUCUUCCCUCAACCCUUCAACCUUUCAUCAACGACAAUAACACCACCACCAACAACCACCCUUCUUACUCCAUGGCCCAAGAAACCCAAAACCCACCUCCCCCUCAGGAAGUGCCGCCCGUUGUGGACCCUGUCCCUCUCGACAACGCACCUACCACCGAACCUCAACCCGAAGCUCAACCCGAACCUCAACCUCAACCUGAACCCGAACCUGAAACUGAAACCCAGGAGAAGGUCCAGACCGCUGUUGAAGACAAGAUUUCCGAAUCGGUUUCGUUCAAGGAGGAGACCAACGUCGUCGGCGAUCUCCCCGAGGCGCAGAAGAAAGCCCUUG